rnacentral:rRNA from 1 species
GCGGCACGCCUAAUACAUGCAAGUCGAACGAAGUAGCAAUACUUAGUGGCAGACGGGUGAGUAACAUGUGGGUAUCUUCCCUUUGGUGAGGAAUAACACGAGGAAACUUGUGCUAAUACCUCAUAAGUCUUUACGGAGAAAGCUUUAUGCGCCAAUGGAUGAGCCCGCACUUGAUUAGUUUGUUGGUGGGGUAAUGGCCUACCAAGACUGUGAUCAAUAGCUGAUUUGAGAGGAUGAUCAGCCACAUUGGGACUGAGACACGGCCCAAACUCCUACGGGAGGCAGCAGUAGGGAAUCUUGCACAAUGGAGGAAACUCUGAUGCAGCGAUGCCGCGUGAGUGAAGAAGGCCCUUGGGUUGUAAAGCUCUUUCGUCGGGGAAGAAAAUGACUGUACCCGAAUAAGAAGGUCCGGCUAACUUCGUGCCAGCAGCCGCGGUAAUACGAAGGGACCUAGCGUAGUUCGGAAUUACUGGGCUUAAAGAGUUCGUAGGUGGUUAAAAUAGUUGGUGGUGAAAUCCCAGAGCUUAACUCUGGAACUGCCAUCAAAACUUUUUAGCUAGAGUAUGAUAGAGGAAAGCAGAAUUUCUAGUGUAGAGGUGAAAUUCGUAGAUAUUAGAAAGAAUACCAAUUGCGAAGGCAGCUUUCUGGAUCAUUACUGACACUGAGGAACGAAAGCAUGGGUAGCGAAGAGGAUUAGAUACCCUCGUAGUCCAUGCCGUAAACGAUGUGUGUUAGACGUUGGAAAUUUAUUUUUCAGUGUCGCAGCAAAAGCGAUAAACACACCGCCUGGG